GCGUGCAGAGUCCGGGUACCUAUUCAUGUGCAUAUAAGGUAACUCCAAAGGUGGUGAUGAGGUUGGACUCUACUUGCACCUUUUAAGGAGAUGGCGUUAGACCCAAGUUAUGGUAAUUACCAUAUACUAGGAGUCCUAGUCCGAUUGGGAGAAGGAUUCUAAGGUGGUGAGUACUAUAAAUAUGAGGCCUAGGUUAUCAUUAUGAGGUAAUACCUAUUUUGAGCACUAAAUACUUAUCCUCCAUUGUUAAACCUUGUAACGGCCUGUACUCAUUCUCACACCGGAGCUAUCCCCCGGCGGCAUAAGCCGUCAAGCUUCUGUGUGAUCCGUUACUGUGCA
rnacentral:lncRNA from 1 species